rfam:Puccinia triticina 1-1 BBBD Race 1 supercont2.347, whole genome shotgun sequence.
GGGUCUGUAGCCUAGUUGGUAAAGGCAGCACUCUAGUAUGUGUCUCAGCAUAGCGUGAGUUCGACUCACACCAGACACA